AAAAAAAAAAGUCUAGAAACUAGAACACGGAGAGGGAUAGAAGCCACCACAGGACACCCUUCUUGGUUCCACUGACUCCUUUGUCCAACCUACCCGUUCUCCAGGACCAGGGUCCCUGCCAUCUUAGCAACUUGUCUGAGGCCCCAGAAUUUCCUUGUAUCCCUGAUGCUAGAUCUACAGCCAGGUCUGCAUAGGUCCUACCUCCAAGCCCCACCCCCACCCCACCCCUGCCGACUGGUCUAAUCUCUGGUCCCUGUUUGCUGGAGCUCCUACAACUGAUGCCCCCGCUCUGAGGAAGCUGGAUCCCUUAGACGGACAUUGCCACGCUUAAAAAGAAGAGGGACACGAUGACCCAUUCUUGUAGGGAUUGGUUCUUUUUUUUCUACCAUGUGGAUCCUGUACACAAAGCUGGCUUUGAAGAGAUGCUCCUGCCUCUGCCUCCCAAAUUCUAAAUUUUUAAAAAUAUGCCUGGGGGGCUGGAGAGAUGGCUCAGCGGUUAAGAGCACUGACUGCUCUUCUGAAGGUCCUGAGUUCAAAUCCCAGCAACCACAUGGUGGCUCACAACCAUCCAUAACAAGCUCUGACGCUAUCUUCUGGAGUGUCUGAAGACAGCUACAGUGUACUUACAGGAAAACCCAGGAAAGCAACUUGAUCUCCAGUGGAAGGAAAACACUAAAAUGGACACACACACACACAAAUACAGCCUAUGGUGGCCUUUGACUUCUCGUCUCAGUUUCUACCCUGGGCACCAGGCUCACUUUCUUAGAAAAGAGAGGGUGAACACCUUCUGGGCACUAGAGAUAGGUGGCUGAGUAGGAUGCCUGUGGCUCCCUUUCUUCUGUCUUCUGUGGAGCCGGGGGUUCAGUCCCAAGCCAAAGAGGAGCAAGAGGAGAAAAACCUCUUUUUCUGGAAUCUGCCUCCAUUCAGGAUCUCCAGAGAGGAAGAAGAGAGAUGACUGUCCCUCCUUGUUGUCCCAGAGGCAGAGAUGGUCCACAGUCAAAGCACUCAAGAGUGGAGGCAGAAGCUGGGAGGCAAUUCAAGGUCUUCCUUGACUACAUAUCAAGCUUGAAGCCAGCCUGGAAUACUUGAGAUCCUUUCUUAAAAAGAGG